AUCCCUGUAGCAAAAUGGGUAGCGAGGUGAACUUUUAAUACAAAGGUCGUGGGUUCGAAUCCCACCUGGGAUG